AUUGAACGCUGGCGGCAGGCCUAACACAUGCAAGUCGAGCGGUAGCACAGAGAGCUUGCUCUCGGGUGACGAGCGGCGGACGGGUGAGUAAUGUCUGGGAAACUGCCUGAUGGAGGGGGAUAACUACUGGAAACGGUAGCUAAUACCGCAUAACGUCGCAAGACCAAAGUGGGGGACCUUCGGGCCUCAUGCCAUCAGAUGUGCCCAGAUGGGAUUAGCUAGUAGGUGGGGUAAUGGCUCACCUAGGCGACGAUCCCUAGCUGGUCUGAGAGGAUGACCAGCCACACUGGAACUGAGACACGGUCCAGACUCCUACGGGAGGCAGCAGUGGGGAAUAUUGCACAAUGGGCGCAAGCCUGAUGCAGCCAUGCCGCGUGUAUGAAGAAGGCCUUCGGGUUGUAAAGUACUUUCAGCGAGGAGGAAGGCAUUAAGGUUAAUAACCUUGGUGAUUGACGUUACUCGCAGAAGAAGCACCGGCUAACUCCGUGCCAGCAGCCGCGGUAAUACGGAGGGUGCAAGCGUUAAUCGGAAUUACUGGGCGUAAAGCGCACGCAGGCGGUCUGUCAAGUCGGAUGUGAAAUCCCCGGGCUCAACCUGGGAACUGCAUUCGAAACUGGCAGGCUAGAGUCUUGUAGAGGGGGGUAGAAUUCCAGGUGUAGCGGUGAAAUGCGUAGAGAUCUGGAGGAAUACCGGUGGCGAAGGCGGCCCCCUGGACAAAGACUGACGCUCAGGUGCGAAAGCGUGGGGAGCAAACAGGAUUAGAUACCCUGGUAGUCCACGCCGUAAACGAUGUCGACUUGGAGGUUGUGCCCUUGAGGCGUGGCUUCCGGAGCUAACGCGUUAAGUCGACCGCCUGGGGAGUACGGCCGCAAGGUUAAAACUCAAAUGAAUUGACGGGGGCCCGCACAAGCGGUGGAGCAUGUGGUUUAAUUCGAUGCAACGCGAAGAACCUUACCUACUCUUGACAUCCAGAGAACUUAGCAGAGAUGCUUUGGUGCCUUCGGGAACUCUGAGACAGGUGCUGCAUGGCUGUCGUCAGCUCGUGUUGUGAAAUGUUGGGUUAAGUCCCGCAACGAGCGCAACCCUUAUCCUUUGUUGCCAGCGGUCCGGCCGGGAACUCAAAGGAGACUGCCAGUGAUAAACUGGAGGAAGGUGGGGAUGACGUCAAGUCAUCAUGGCCCUUACGAGUAGGGCUACACACGUGCUACAAUGGCAUAUACAAAGAGAAGCGACCUCGCGAGAGCAAGCGGACCUCAUAAAGUAUGUCGUAGUCCGGAUUGGAGUCUGCAACUCGACUCCAUGAAGUCGGAAUCGCUAGUAAUCGUAGAUCAGAAUGCUACGGUGAAUACGUUCCCGGGCCUUGUACACACCGCCCGUCACACCAUGGGAGUGGGUUGCAAAAGAAGUAGGUAGCUUAACCUUCGGGAGGGCGCUUACCACUUUGUGAUUCAUGACUGGGGUG
rnacentral:rRNA from 2 species